GUUAAAAUCACAAUUAUCAUUAAAUUCAAGUUUUGUUUUGACUUUUUGUUAAUAAUUGAGAUUUCCUUUUGUACCUACACUGAAUUUCUGUGAAUUAUUACUAGUUAAAUUAGAUUUAGCGCUAUAGUAACAAUUUGUUUUCAGCAUUGUUGCUACGGGUCCGAUUCGUGAGAAUCUUUAGAUUUUAAUCAUAAUAUCUUUGUCGAUUUCUGUGAUAAAUACCUAACGUGUUGGGUCGUGUUUCGUUAUUUGGUUUCGAUUUGCGUUACAAUCGAGUUUUGUCUUGCCUGUUAAUAAUUUAUUAUAAGGUUUUAGUAGCUGCCCUGGGCAGCGGUUUACGGUUCUUCUGUGUGUUUUGGAAGCUGUACAAUAUGUUGAAAAUUAAAGAAGAAAAUGAUGAAACAAAAGAACAUUUUUUUGAAAAUUCGUUUGAACCUAAACCGUUAGAUGUACAGUUCAUAAAGAAUGAAAUUUCUACAAUAGAAGAGUAUUUGGUAAAGAAUGAAGUCGACAAUACUUAUAAAGUUUUGAAGCGGUAUAAUAUGUUGAAAAUUAAACAUGAAAACGUUGAAACGGAUGUCAUUGAACCUCAACCGUUAGAUGUACAGUUCAUAAACAAUGGAGUUUCUACAACAAAGGAGUAUUUGGUAAAGAAUGUAGGCGACAAUACUUAUGAGUAAGGCGAUUUUAUUACCAUUUUUUUAAACUACAUAAAACAAUUAAGGUUUUGUAAUUAUGUCAUCCUCCUCUAUAAACCCGUCGUUGGUAUUGAUGUUAGCGUUUCGCUAACAUUUAACUUAAAUUAGGAGCCACUUGUUCAUAUGAUAAUAGAUUGUUUUAAAACUACCUCUUAUCAAUAUAAUGUAAAAUCAAAAUACCAAAAAAAAUUAAAUUGUAAACAUCUAUUUGUAAGUAUGAUUACCGGUCAAAGUCUGCAGUACCGCAUUAUGUUAGCGUACGUUUGCACGAGACUUACCGUGUUAUAUAUUAUAUAAAUAUAUAGAAAACAUUUAUACAUUUUUUUUCAUUCUUUUAUAAAAUAGACAAAAAAUGCGGA